GGAAGGGAAUAGUGCCCGGUGGUGCUGCCGGUCUUCAAAACCGGAGAUCCCGAUAGAUGUCGGGAUGGUGGGUUCGACUCCCGCUUCCUUCCGCCA
rnacentral:tRNA from 1 species